rnacentral:rRNA from 1 species
GCCUAAAGCGUCCGUAGCCUGUUCUAUAAGUUUCCGGUUAAAUCCACUAGCUCAACUAGUGGGCUGCCGAAAAUACUGUAGAACUAGGGAGUGGGAGAGGUAGACGGUAUUCGGUAGGAAGGGGUAAAAUCCUUUGAUCUAUCGAGGACCACCUGUGGCGAAGGCGGUCUACCAGAACACGUUCGACGGUGAGGGAUGAAAGCUGGGGGAGCAAACCGGAUUAGAUACCCGGGUAGUCCCAGCUGUAAACGAUGCAGACUCGGUGAUGCGCUGGCUUGUGGCCAGUGCAGUGCCGCAGGGAAGCCGUUAAGUUUGCCGCCUGGGAAGUACGUACGCAAGUAUGAAACUUAAAGGAAUUGGCGGGGGAGCACCACAAGGGGUGAAGCCUGCGGUUCAAUUGGAGUCAACGCCAGAAAUCUUACCCGGAGAGACAGCAGAAUGAAGGUCAAGUUGAAGCCUUUACCAGACAAGCUGAGAAGUGGUGCAUGGCCGUCGCCAGCUCGUGCCGUGAGGUGUCCUGUUAAGUCAGGUAACGAGCGAGAUCCUUGCCUCUAGUUGCCACCAUUACUCUCAGGAGUAGUGGGGCGAAUUAGCGGGACUGCCGUAGUUAAUACGGAGGAAGGAGAGGGCCACGGCAGGUCAGUAUGCCCCGAA